UGGGGAAUAUUGCACAAUGGGCGCAAGCCUGAUGCAGCCAUGCCGCGUGUAUGAAGAAGGCCUUCGGGUUGUAAAGUACUUUCAGCGGGGAGGAAGGGAGUAAAGUUAAUACCUUUGCUCAUUGACGUUACCCGCAGAAGAAGCACCGGCUAACUCCGUGCCAGCAGCCGCGGUAAUACGGAGGGUGCAAGCGUUAAUCGGAAUUACUGGGCGUAAAGCGCACGCAGGCGGUUUGUUAAGCCAGAUGUGAAAUCCCCGGGCUCAACCUGGGAACUGCAUCUGAUACUGGCAAGCUUGAGUCUCGUAGAGGGGGGUAGAAUUCCAGGUGUAGCGGUGAAAUGCGUAGAGAUCUGGAGGAAUACCGGUGGCGAAGGCGGCCCCCUGGACAAAGACUGACGCUCAGGUGCGAAAGCGUGGGGAGCAAACAGG
rnacentral:rRNA from 1 species